GGGGUUUGAGAGAAAAUGAGUUUUAAUCAUUCAUUAAGUCAAUAGGUAUGAGCUUUCUAAUUUACAACAUCUGAGCUAAUUAGAAAUGUGGAGCAGGGGCACAUUUCUCUGGUGGUGCCCCUCUGGUCCAGUUGGGAAGUGAGGCAUGGUUCCUGUCUUGGUUUCCAAUGGAGUCUCAUGAUACUUCCAUUUUUUGCUGAAAGUCAGAGAUCCUGAAAUCACCUGCUUAUGUGGGAAUCACAUUUCUAAACUAGAGAGGCUGUGUUAGGGCAAGGCUGUGUUAGUACUGAUGUUCCACUGGUCUCAGCAUAGCAUCAUUAGAGGAUUCAGAAUAAUAAAGUGCACCGAGGGCCAAGGGAUGUAUAAAAGAUGUGUGCCAUCGUGGAGGAGCUGUGCUGAGAAGUGGAGGAGUUACAGGAGGAAGUGAGCAGGCUGUGCAGCAUCAGAGAGGAUGAAGAAGGAGAUAGAUGAGAUCUCUGAGACACAGUGGCUUAAACCCCAGACCUUAACUGCAGCAGGGAAACAGGCAGUGUGCACCCCUAAUAUUAAGUUGAUGAGAUGCCAGAUAUGCCUUCAAGCAAAGGAUCUGGUACACCUGAUCCUAAAUCAUGUAAGGUCACCCAGGAAGAAUGUGUUUUUCAGAGGAGUAAUGAAACCUGUCACAGGGGAACACAAGAAAGAACCCUGCCACCGAUGCCGGCACAGAGGAGCAACACUGUGAUCCUCCUUAUUGCCUACAAAUCACGAACUGUGAAAUGGAGAAAGGAGAAUUGACAGGGGCUUGCCACAGCAUGCUUUUACUGUCUUAAGGCUUUCAAUGAGGAAAAAAAGCAUGCCCAAGUGAUUCAAAGCAUUGCUUUCUUUUUCCAUAAGAUUCUUCCCUGAUGCUGCUUCCAGGUUUCUAUAAGAGAAGAUUUUUGGUGACGGCUUUUUCCCAUUUUGGGAUUUUUCUCUCACACUUAGCGGUUCUCUGACCCCCUUAACACAAGAACAACGAUGUUAGUUACCUGGAUAAUGCUAUCUUCUGAAGUUCAAACACAGAUACAAAGAUAUUGUGCUCUGACCACCGGAUCAAAGCAAGGGCUUCCAUGCCUAGCCUGAGCACAUGAAGCCUCGCUGUCCCAUUAACAUGUGUAUUAUUGUUGGUCACCAGAGAGGUGACACAAACUCCAGGAUGAUAUCUGCCUGAGCACAGGAGUAAACAUUGCCAGUUUAUUAUUUAGUUAAUCUGUACCUACAAGCUUCUGACACUAGAGUUUCCACAGCUUCUCUGACAUGAGUUUAUUCCAGAUCACUUUCAUUUUGUAGGGACAGCAUUCAGUCUAAGCAUAUACCUCCUAAAGGGGCCUUACAAGUGUUCAGUAAAAUAUAAGGAGUACUUGCAGGAUUACUUAUAGUUCUUAUUCACUAGUAUUCUGUUCAUACAGUCCUGUGUAGUGCUCACCUGUUGCACAGCAGUCUGCCACAGGCUUGUGUUCAGUUUAUGGUGCACUGUAAUUCCCAGACCCUCUUCUCCAACACUUCCUAUAUAUACAGUCCCAGUUUGUACUCAUGAUAUUGAUUGUUCCUGCCAAAGGUUGUGCUUUGCACUUGUCUUGACAAAAUUUCAUCCUCGUUUCUUUUUCAGUCUGUUUCUCCAACUUGUCAACUUUAAAUUCAAAUCCUGCCACUGGUAUAUUUGGGGGAAGGAGCUGAAACAGUGAUGUACUGAGUGUGGUGAGCAUGAUCACAGUAACCUCAUAUCCUUAGGAAACUAGUAAAAAAUGCAAUGAGAAUUCAAGAUUUGGCACGUUGCACUAACCAUCCUGCAUUUGCUGUAGAAGGGAAAAAU